rnacentral:rRNA from 1 species
AGCAGCCGCGGUAAUUCCAGCUCCAAUAGCGUAUAUUAAAGUUGUUGCAGUUAAAAAGCUCGUAGUUGAAUUUCGGGGUUAGUAGGUUGGUCAUGCCUCUGGUAUGUACUGGUCUCACUGAUUCCUCCUUCCUGAUGAGCCGUAAUGCCAUUAAUUUGGUGUUGCGGGGAAUUUGGACUGUUACUUUGAAAAAAUUAGAGUGUUUAAAGCAAGCUAACGCUUGAAUACAUUAGCAUGGAAUAAUGAAAUAGGACGUUCGAUCCUAUUUUGUUGGUUUCUAGGAUUGACGUAAUGAUUAAUAGGGAUAGUUGGGGGCAUUAGUAUUCAAUUGUCAGAGGUGAAAUUCUUGGAUUUAUUGAAGACUAACUACUGCGAAAGCAUUUGCCAAGGAUGUUUUCAUUAAUCAAGAACGAAAGUUAGGGGAUCGA